GAUGAAGAACGUAGCGAAAUGCGAUAAGUAGUGUGAAUUGCAGAAUUCAGUGAAUCAUCGAAUCUUUGAACGCACAUUGCGCCCCAUGUUAUUCCGUGGGGCAUGCCUGUUCGAGCGUCAUUUACCCCCUCAAGCUCCGCUUGGUGUUGGGCGUCUGUCCCGCUUCGCGCGCGGACUCGCCCCAAAGGUAUUGGCAGCGGUCGUGCCAGCUUCUCGCGCAGCACAUUGCGCUUCUCGAGGCACCGGUGGGCCCGCGUCCAUCAAGCUCACCCCCCCAGUUUGACCUCGGAUCAGGUAGGGAUACCCGCUGAACUUAAGCAUAUCAAUAAGCGGAGGA
rnacentral:misc_RNA from 1 species